GCUUGUCUCAAAGAUUAAGCCAUGCAUGUCUUAGUGUAAAUAACUCUUAUGAAACUGCGAAUGGCUCAUUAAAUCAGUUAUCGUUUAUUUGAUGGUCCCUUACUACAUGGAUAACCGUAGUAAUUCUAGAGCUAAUACAUGCAGUCAGACCUGGCUCAAGGGUCGUAAUUAUUAGUACCAAACCAAUUCCGCGAGGAAUGUGUUGAAUCAUAGUAAUCGAACGAAUCGCAGGUAUAUGCGAUAAAUCAUUCAAGUUUCUGCCCUAUCAGCUUUGGAUGGUAGUGUAUUGGACUACCAUGGCAGUCACGGGUAACGGAGAAUUAGGGUUCGAUUCCGGAGAGGGAGCCUGAGAAACGGCUACCACAUCUAAGGAAGGCAGCAGG
rnacentral:rRNA from 1 species